rnacentral:lncRNA from 1 species
GUGCCCUGGGCAUACUUUUAUUUUUGUGCUUAUCACACUGACCUGUGAUAGCCUCCUGGUCAGCCUCAACUCCCCUUUAUCCCCUACGUGUCCUGAGAGCUCAGAUGGACGGCAUUUGCCCACUUCAGUAUUUCCCAGCACAGUCAAUAAAGGAGCACAUGAGAUGCUUCCCAACCUGUGUGAAUACCCUUCCUGACACAGCAGAGAACAGUCCUUCAUAAAUCCUGUGUCUUUGGAGGGACGUUUUCUGGCACACUGCGGCAGCUGUGGCUUGCAAUGUCUAAGUUACCAGGAUGUCGGUGGGGAGGGCCCUGACCAGGGCGGAGUAGGGGGACCUGCAGCGUCUGGGAGCAUGAAGCCUUGCUGCUGGAGUCUCCAGGCUCGCCAGGCAGGGCUGGGGGUGGCGCUGGGAGGAGCCCAGACAGAUAGGCCCUGAGCUUUGAAGAAAAAUCAAUAUUCAGCAGGGAGUUGAUUGUGUCAUAAACGUCUCGAGUUGCACUGCCACUUCCUGGCCCCUGAGUGGCCCAAGGUGAGCUCUGCUGAGGAGAGAGCUGCCCUGCCUACCCCUCCCCUGCACUGCCUGUCUGAGGUCACAGAAGGAGCAGGAGAAAGGCAGCAGGCAUCUUAGGUGGUAAAGCCACUCAGUGAGCCACAGCAGCGAGGCGAGGAUGGUGGCUCCCUCUUUCUUUCGGAGGUGCAUACAUUCAACAAAUAACUACUCAAUGCCCACCAUGCCCAGUCCUGGGGCCAGGCUCUGGUGAUGCGGCCAGGAGCCCGGCAGACAGUGUGCUGCCUGCAUGGAGUCUACAGUCCUGUGUGGAGAUCAAUGUUGAACGGGGAAAUGAAACAGAAAACUGGCCAAGUAGAGGCUGAUAAGCGUCAUCCAGCAAAGCAAUGAACAGGCAGGUGGAGGCUCGGGAGGGCUGGGCAGGGCUGCUGCAGAUGGGCAGGGCUCUGGGCACUCGGCUGGGCAGGAGCCUGGGCAGUGGGGGGACUGGCUCCCAACACAGCCACUCCCCAACCACUCUUGGCUUCUCUGCUUCCUUCCUUCUCUCCCUGCCUCCUUCCCACACCUAUGCCCAGGUGCUCCUGUAGCUCUGGCUUGCGUAGGGACACUGCCAAGUGGCCCAUCCCCUUCAUUUCGUAGUCCAGAUGCUCUGACAGUGACCCCAGGUGACCGCCCAUGCAUCGCCUGUCCUGGUGGGGGCCAUCCUGUGCCAUCAUUGGGGGGGGGGUGCAGUGUGCAUGACACGGCACAGCAUGGCUCAUAGCUGCCCAGCACCAGGGGCUGAGGGGGUGAUGGGCAUAGCAGUGAGCAUUCCAUCUGGGAUUGAGUCCUGCUUGCCUCUGUCAGGGGAUGUCCUUAGGCAAGUCCCUUAACAUGCAUGUGCCUCAGUUUUGUCACCUGUAGCCCAGUGCCUCAUGGUGCCAAGGAGGUCACAAGCAUGAAGCCCCUGGCAGGGUGUGCCGGGCACGUGUGCACAUGCCCCCUGGAGGGGAUUCAUCAUCGCGGGCGGAGCUCUGCAGUUCCAGCCUCCUGAGGGUCCUGAUGCCUCACGAGGCCAAGAGGCAAAGGGUUUUGUAACUUACAUAACCGCAGAGAAAGGCAAGGUUGCUGCUCACAAUGAUGCUUUCACAGGGCGGCUCUGGGACGGCAUCCUCACCCGACUAUAUGGAAUUCCACAUCCUUUCCGAAUCUUGGUGUUACACAAUAGUCACUGAGAUAUCAUGUACCCCAUUAACGUUGAGACUUUUAUGUAUUUACAAUUCAGCUUAAAUUUUUACCCAGAGAAGUUUUCAAAAUGUAACAUGUGUUAGUCACUGUGUGAAUUGCGAAACCAAGGAAAUAUCUCCAAAGUGCUGGCCUUGACAAUGUAAUCUGGCAAGGCUUGGGGAGGAAUAAAAAUAACACUUCUCAGCAUCGCCGUCUCUGAGGGCAGGAGUGAUCUGGAGCCCUCCCCAAGCCCACAGGUGCAUAGAUGACUUACUUUCAGAAAAUGUCAACAGGGUGCUCUGCAGAGGGGCAUGGGCUUUUAUGCCUUUAUUAUGCUUUUCUGUAUUAAAAGAAAAAUACAGUCAUGUGAUUUUAGAAACUCAACCCAUGGAAGAGAGAAUACUGGGUCUGUAGGAAAUCUGCAAAGUGGGAAAGAUACUUCUGGGCUUGGUGGUGGCACCUUGGAGCCUGCUUACGGAAAUCACCUCUCGUUCCCGUGAUGCUGAAAGCAGAAUGCUGGACAUGGAAGAACCGCGGUACUCGAGCUUCGUCUGCUGCCCCACACCCCACUGGCUGUUGCAAGAGUGACGUUGCCAUUGGUGACUGCAGGUCUCCCAGCAGCCUGGUGCAGAGAGGCCACUUCAGGCUCGAACAGAGGCCCGGGUUUCCACGGGAGACAGCAGAGCCACGGUGUAGCAGGCAUCCAGCUCUCCCCCGAUCAGUUCCGUGACUUGUCGGAAGGCCCUCCCUCCCGGUAGGCCUCGGUUUCCUCAUCUGUGAAACAAUGGGAGUGACCUGGAGGGCCUCUGCCAGUCUCACUCAGUCUAAGCCCUUGAGACGGAGGCAGACACGGUCAGCCUGUAAGCCCCUGGCCUUGCUCUUGCUUCAGGUCAGACGAAGAAAGGACUGGUGGCCUCUGGGGAUCCUGAGCCUGUCUCCAUGGGAACCAGCUCACCCACCCCCUCUCUGGCAAGUGUCCUAGUGGGAGCCAUGGGAAACCAUGGGCUCCAGCCCCUGGCCGCUGACUGGUUGGCGGCCUUCCGUUUUGAGAUCCCUGGCCCAGGGUAAUGGAGGGGACCUCAUCUUACAGAAGACACAGCGAGGGUGUGGAGAGGCUGUGGGGGAAGCACAGCCUGGCCGGCAGCUGCUGGGUGUCCUGGCUUGAGCUCAGGGCACCUUUGUCCCAGGGUGGGACCCUCAGGUCUCAGGGGCUGCUCCAUCCCCGUUGAGGGCUCCCUUCAUUCUUGAUGUCUGUCCACUCACAGAGGGGGCGUCAUGCCUCUCCAAAGACCCCCACAUUCCAGUCCUUGUGUCCCUGAGGUCGGCCUCCUGGCGGCCACCUCACAGGGAAGGCCCUGGACACAGGGCCCUGGCCUAAUGCAGCAUGGCUUCAUCUUAACUAGUUACGUGUGCAAAGACCCUGUCUCCAAACAAGGUCAUAUUUUGGGCUUCUGAGUGGAAGUUGGUUUGGGGGACACUCAUCAACCCAGCACAAUGCUCCCCCUCACCAUGUUCGUUGAAGAGAAGACUCUUGGACACCUGGAGGCCACCAGUCCUUUCUGGAUCCCCAGAGGCCACCAGUACUUUCUUCCUCUGACCUGAAACAAGAGCUAGCAGGGGCUGGCAGGCCGACUGCGUCUGCUGCCAUUUUGAGUACUGGCCCCAGCCGCAAUGCCCAGGACUGAGUCAUGGAGAUUCCCUCAGAAAUGGUGCAACCCAGUCUGUCCACAGAGUGAGGGGCGACAAGCCUGGUGGCCCCGGCUUCAGUGCAGGCCAUCCUUUCCACCUAUUGUCUCCUUUUGGUCUCAUGGGGACCCGGUUCUUGUCCUCUGCCCUGUAGCAUGGCUACGACCCUCAUGGGCCACAAACUUGAUGCCCUCAGGCGGCUAGACUCUACCCCAGAUCCGGGGCUGGCAGCGGCAUGGAUGUGGUCAACUGGCAUGCAGUUGUUACCCAGACACCCUCCCAUCAGCACUUUUUUAGGGGGUGAGUGACAGAAACUCAACUUGGGCUUAAAGGUGAAUUUACUGGUUCCUGUGAUGACAGAGUUCAAGGUUCAGCUGGACCUGGUGCCUCCAAUGACGUCACCAAGUCUGUCUGUCCAUCUGUCUGAGUUCAGCUUCCUCCAGGUCUUCGUUCUCCAGCAGGCCUUCUCCUCAAAGUGGCCAGGUGACUGUCAGCUCUAUGGUUCAUUCUACCAGUUUAUGAAUCUCCCCUCCUCAUGUUGCUCAAAUUCAGCUGUGAGUAAACUCCCAAGCUGAUUGCAGCGUCCAAAGGGAGGGCACUGGUCCCAUGUGCAGCCGGCAACUCUAUGGGUUCAGCUCCACCCAAACUAUAUAGACCACAGCAGGGAAGGAAAGCCAGGGAUGCUAGGAUGGCCAGCACCACUGCAGAAGCCUAUUGAUCCCGUGCAAAAUAGCUCCAGUAAAAGGAGGGCUUUGGGGCCCGGUGUGUUGGCACACACCUGUAAUCCCAGCACUUUGGGAGGCCAAGGCAUGUGGAUCACUUGAGGUCAAAAGUUCUUGACCAGCCUGAUUAACAUGGUGAAACUCCGUCUCUAUUAAAUACAAAAAAAUUAGCCAGGAGUGGUGGUGCAUGACUGUUAUCUGAGCUACUUGGGAGGCUGAGACAGGGGAAUUGCUUGUACCCGGAGGCGGAGGUUGCAGUGAGCUGAGAUCACACCAUUGUACUCCAGCAUGGGCAACAAGAGCAAAACUCUGUCUCAAAAAAAAAAAAAAAAAGGAGAGCUUUGGUCUACAGAAAGUCAGGCACCAUCACAGCAUCAUAGGGACAGGGAUACAGGAUGCAGGUCCCCGUUACAUCCAGGGCUCCAUCCCUCUUCUCUCCAUCCUCCCCAUAGGCUUUUCCUACAGGCCUUUGGUUUUCCCCGGAUGUUGGCUUGCCCCUAUACCAGCACUGCCAUGGAUGUUGGCUUGCCCCUAUACCAGCACUGCCACGGAUGUUGGCUUGCCCCUAUACCAGCACUGCUCUGGAUGUAGGCUUGUCCCUACAAGAUCACUGGCCCGACUUGUCACUCCAGGGACAAUGUGUCCACCCUUGGCCUAGCUAGUCAGAAACUUUUGUCUUCGUGUCAUCGUGUCCAAUCAAGAUGUCCAAGAUCCUUCUCUCUUUAGAGAGCAUGGGGAGGAGGGGCAUUGUGCUGGGUUGAUGACUGUCCCCCAAAUCCACUUCCACUCAGAAGCUCAAAAUAUGACCUUAUUUGGAGACAGGGUCUUUGCAGAUGUAAUUAGUUAAGAUGAAGUCACGCUGCAUUAGGGUGGGCCCUAGACCCAAGGCCUAGACCCAAGGACUGGCGAUCUUAUAAAAAGAGGAGUGGACACAGAGACAGAUGCAGAGGGAGGGCAGCCACGGAAAGACAAAGGCAGAGAGUGGAUGAUGCAGCCGCAAGCCAUCGGAUGUCCAGGGCCACCAGGAGCUGAGGAGGUGAGGAAGGGCACCCCCAGGAACCUUCAGAGGGAGCACGACACUGUCGACACCUUGACUUUAGACUUCUGGGCUCCAGAUCAGCAAGGGAGUAGAUUUCUGCUCCUUUAAGCAUUUUAUGGGUCUCUGCUGCAGGAGCUCAAGGAAACUCAUUCAGGUAUUUAGGACGGUUGUGCUGGGUGGAGACGGACCACACACCGUCUCUGGGCUGAAGGGGCGGGCACCAGGAGCAGGUCCUCAGUCGACCGCAUCUUGGCACUUAGCUUUGGUGACUCCCCCUGGUGCUGCUGAUGUCCUACCGUGGCCUCUAGGGGACUCAGGGUCCUGCACCCCACCCCUGCUCCCUUCCUGCCCUGGCCUCGUCUCACCUCUGCAGUAGCAAGACUUUCUGCAGCCUGAAUCUAGAUUCUCUGCCGCCUCUUGGUUCUUCUCCUUCAAUGUGGGCUCACCAAGGGCCAUGAGGGUCCCCAGGACUGCAAGGGCACACAGAAAACCCACAGAUUCAUACACUGAGAUAUCGCUCUCCUCGUCGACAGGACCUCAAGCCUCCAGGCCCAGCUCAGUCUAAUUCAAUCUCUGUGUCUUUGCUCAAACUCUUGCAAGGAAAUCUGACCACCUUGGCCUGGCUGGGGGCAUCCAGCGCUAUCCCUGGGGUGUGGCCUGAAACCCUUCCUUCCUCGGUAGGACUCAGUCAACCAGGGUUAAGAAAAGGGCACAUUCCUUGGAGAAGCAUGAGGAGAUAAUGCUUCUGAGGACGCUCAUGUAUGUGAACGCUCAAUGCAGACAUAUGGAAAUUAUGUCGUCUACAUUUACCCCCAUCCCUCUAGGGUGGGUGUCAUCAGAUUCCCGUCCCAGUUUGCAGCUGGAGCCUCGGGGCUUGGAUUAAGUGCUUGCCAGUGCUGGUAGAGAAGCCUGUCACCUCCCACCACUCUCAGCACUUGUCCACUUGCCAAGGUCUCAUGGCAAGUAAGUCCUGGCCACCUUGGUCGCCUCUUAGACGAAGUGGCUUGGACUAGAUGCCCUCCUCCGAGGUGAAUCUUGAGCUGAAGCUUCGGUGUGUGCCUGGAGCAUGUGGCUGGGGUGUUCAGCAAACCCUGGGCAGGGAGGACAGGCCAGCCAGACCUCGGGCCCCCAACUGGGCAUCUGCCUCCAUAGGGCAUUCAUCCACUUUGGGGGUCUUUGUGUCCCUAAAAGAGUCUGAAUAUGAAUCCACACUCAAGCAAAACCAUUAAGGAGAUCAAAGCAGCCGCAAUGACACUGGAGGAGGCUCAUGCUCCUGGGAAACCUCAGAGUAAGACGCAUGGGGGAGGUGCUGGCUUAAGGGUCAUGACUGAGGUGAGAGGCUGAGGGCAAUGGACAGAAAGCAGCAUGCAACCAAGUUCAGGUGGCAGGGAAAACAGAGAGCAAGGAGGAAGCAAAACUGUGAGCAAAACAGGCCUUGAGGGGCCAAACAGUCAGCCACAGAUGCCAGGCUCCUGCCCGACCUGCCCCGACCCUGCCUCUCAGAGGGCACCUGCCAUCCUCUGUGCACCCCACCUGUCCUGUCCCAUCUGUGCAGGGCCCCGUCUAUCGCCCCUGAAGGGUCAGGUGCUCCUCACUGGAAGGUAGGAACUGGGCUUCACCAUCUGGACUGUGCAAGGCCUGCCUGGUCAUGAGAGCAAAGAGUUUUCUAGAAGGCUGGCUUGCACACAUAAGUGAAGAACUGCCCCCCAGAAGUAAUGCUUAGGCAAAGAAGGUGGGCAGUGGUGGUGGUCACAGAUGCUGGGGGUGAGCCAUAGGCCUGAGCCAUCCAUUGUGGGGGUCUGAAAGCCCAAGUCUGUGGCUCCCACACACAGAGAUAGACAGUUCCUAGAGAACACCAGAGUCUAGGCCCCAGGGGCUGGGCGUGCCUCAGAGGGCGCCCCAUGCCAGCUUAAAGGCAGCUGGGAAUGCAGCAAUUGAUCAGUGGGUGCUGGGCAGCUCACACCCCCGUGCGGACAGUCUUCUCCAUGGGCCGAGAAGUGUGUCACAUGCAUGCAGGUGCAUAUGCAUGGGGACAUGGGGGCCCAGGAGUCUUCCUACUGCAGAGUUCAAAGAUGCGGGCUGAAGGCAGUUUGGAGAGCGUCCCCUGCCUGUGCUUCUCUUUUAACUCCAGGACCUGAGCCUCUGCUGGGUGGCGGGUGGACGCUGCUCCCAGUCUCCCAUGCAAGGGGCCCCAGAGGGAGGAAAAUGGCAGGAUGGGACAGAGGGACCACGUGAGAGCAGCUUUGGGAUAAAGCUGCCAGAUACACAAAGCAAUAAACAAAAGGGAAAAAGGAAACGGGACUCAACACAAUUCACAAGUCACAAGGUGGUUGGCUCCAAGGAGCAGGUCCCUGGCUCAGCGGGUCCACUGGGGCUCUCUGGGCAGAGGGGCCUGGUGUUUGAGGUCCCCUCCAGAACCUUCACGCUGAGUGGCAAUGACAUUCCAUAGCCUUGAGGGGCAGGGGCGCAAGGCUCAGCACCCUGGGGCUCUGGGGUGGAGGAGGAGGAUGAUCCGGACUGGGGAGGCAGAAAUGGCCCUCCGUUCUUUUCUGUUUCUUCUCACGCCUCCAGCCCCUUGCUGCAGCCACACUGGCCUCAGUUACACUGGCUCCUUCCUGCUCCUCAUCUGUACAGGGCCAGGUCCUGAAUUAGGGGGGCCUUUGUACAUACAGGCACCAGAACAUUCUUCCAGAGCUUCACUGGAGCCUUCCUCUUCAGCAUGACCGUCCCUGGCCACCUGAUCCAGAGCUGGCGGCUCCCAGGCAUAGCCCAUCCCUGCUGCGGCUCUGCACUGCCCCAGUCCUCACCUGCAUGCAGGGGACUAUUCACAUGCUGACCGUCUGUCCAUCUCCCGUAAGAACGUCGGCUCCUUCCACGUCUGCUGGGCGUGGAGGAUCCCUCACAGCCUCCCCGACCUCAGAGCCAUGAGAGACUUGCAAAGCUUGAAACAAACUCUGAAAGGACUCUUCACAGAUAAAUUCCUCCAGGUGCAUGUUUCAAACAAUUUUAUUAUCUAACCCAAGAGUAAGUUAGCAAUCGAUUUCCUAAUCUUUAUUGAUUGGCAGUGGGCAGGCUAGUGUGAUUAAAGAUGUGAGAGAGACUUGCCAAAUAAAAUGCAUGAGCAGCCUUCAUGAGCUUAGCUCCAAUGUGCAGAGUGAUAGGGUCAGGGAAGUGUGUGUAUGUGUGCAUGAUUGUGUGAGAUCAGGGUAGUGUGUGUGUGUGUGUGUGUGUGUGACAUCAGGGCAGUGGGUGUGUGAGAGAGAUCAGGGCAGUGUGUAUGUGUAUGUGUGAGAUCAGGGCAGUGUGCGUGUGUGUGUGUGUGUGACAUCAGGGCAGUGUGUCUGUGUGCAUGAGUGUGUGAGAUCAGGGCAGUGUGUGUGCAUGAGUGUGAUAUCAGGGCAGUAUGUGUGUGUCUGUGUGUGUGUGUAUGAUAUCAGGGCAGUGUGUGUGUGUCUGUGUGUGAGGUUAGGGCAGUGUGUGUUUGUGUGCAUGAGUGUGUGAGAUCAGGACAGUAUGUGAGAGAGAGAGAUCAGGGCAAAGGGCAGUGUUUGUGUGAGAUUAGGGCAGAGUGUGUGUGUGUGUGUAUGAGAUCAGGGCAGUGUGUGUGUGUGUGCAUGAGUGUGUGAGAUCAGGGUAGUGUGUGUGUGUGACAUCAGGGCAGUGUUUGUGUGUUUGUGUGAGAUCAGGGCAGUGUGUGUGUGUGCACGAGUGUGUGAGAUCACGGAAGUGUGUGUGUCAGGUCACCACAGUGUAUGUGCGGGUAUGCGUGUGUGUGUGCACAGGGAACACACGGACAGCCAUUCCAAGUACACACUCUCCUUGGGUAAAUCUGUGAGUAAUCAUUGCUCCAGCAGUGAGAGCCCGUGAGGGUGGUGCAGGAAGACUGUGGCCUGCCUCCUGAGGGAAGCAUUAAAAAAACAGUCAAAGGAAAACGAACUCAGCUCUCCCAGGGUGGAGGACGUGGAGGUGGGCAGCCAGGGAACAAAUCUGGUUGCUGCGAGCCUGUCAGAAAGGGCCCUAGUGCCCUGCCAGGAGGAAGGACUCUGGGCCAUGAGCAUGAUGGUCUUUGAAGGCCAGGAGAGCUAGCCUACCCCAGCUCUGCCACUAACUGUGCGACUCACGGUCACAUGAUGAUACCUCCUGGGCCCCAUAUACUUUAUCUGCAAAUGGGAAGAAGCACAGCCUCUGUGUCCACAGUGCUGUUGAGGUUGGAUCGGGGCUAACUGGCAAUCAGACAUGUGUCUAUAAAUGCCGGCGAGCCAGGCAGAGCCCAGGCCUGAGAGUCCACCAGGGUGGCAGGCCUUAAUCCGCGCUGCACAGAUCUGU